AUCUAAUAGAGUGGUAAAAUCCAUCGUUGCCAUCGAUGGGCCCCGCGUUCGAUUCGCGGCUGAUG